rnacentral:rRNA from 1 species
CAGUCGCCGCGGUAAUACGGAGGGAGCUAGCGUUGUUCGGAAUUACUGGGCGUAAAGCGCGCGUAGGCGGUUACUCAAGUCAGAGGUGGAAGCCCGGGGCUCAACCCCGGAACUGCCUUUGAAACUAGGUAACUAGAAUCUUGGAGAGGUCAGUGGAAUUCCGAGUGUAGAGGUGAAAUUCGUAGAUAUUCGGAAGAACACCAGUGGCGAAGGCGACUGACUGGACAAGUAUUGACGCUGAGGUGCGAAAGCGUGGGGAGCAAACAGGAUUAGAUACCCGGGUAGUCCCUGUCUCUUAUAC